rnacentral:rRNA from 1 species
AUUGAACGCUGGCGGCAGGCCUAACACAUGCAAGUCGAGCGAGCGGCGGACGGGUGAGUAAUGUAUGGGGACUGCCCGAUAGAGGGGGAUAACUACUGGAAACGGUGGCUAAUACCGCAUACUAUCGGAUAACCCAUAUGGGAUUAGCUAGUAGGUGGGGUAAAGGCUCACCUAGGUGAUGAUCAGUAGCCGGACUGAGAGGUUGAUCGGCCGCAUUGGGACUGAGACACGGCCCAGACUCCUACGGAGGCAGCAGUGGGGAAUAUUGGGCAAUGGGCGCAAGCCUGACCCAGCAACGCCGCGUGAAGGAAGACGGUCUUCGGGUUGUAAAGUACUUUCAGCGGGGAGGCGUUACCCGCAGAAGAAGCACCGGCUAACUCCGUGCCAGCCGCCGCGGUAAUAC